rnacentral:other from 1 species
UAAGUCCUGCCGUGUACGCGGUGUCAUAUUGACUUCUGGCCCAUUAAACCCACAUCUCUAAUAAGGGAUGCCGAUUUGAAUCUGCGGAUUGCAGGCCUCCCGGCCAUGGCCGGACGUUGGAAGCAGCGAAACAGAACUUAGGCGACCCACCUGCUCCGUUGUGCAGGUUAUAAUUGGGCCCCAACGGCACGGCGGGAUCACC